rnacentral:rRNA from 1 species
UACGGAGGAUCCAAGCGUUAUCCGGAAUCAUUGGGUUUAAAGGGUCCGUAGGCGGUUUGGUAAGUCAGUGGUGAAAGCCCAUCGCUCAACGGUGGAACGGCCAUUGAUACUGCCAGACUUGAAUUAUUAGGAAGUAACUAGAAUAUGUAGUGUAGCGGUGAAAUGCUAGAGAUUACAUGGAAUACCAAUUGCGAAGGCAGGUUACUACUAAUGGAUUGACGCUGAUGGACGAAAGCGUGGGUAGCGAACAGG